CUUGGUUCUCUUGUUUGCAUUCUCUUUCACCACUCACGUCUUUUUGCAAAGAAGAAAGCAUGGCUGCAGAGUUUGUGGGUGGAGCAGUUUUCUCUGCAUUCCUUCAGGUGGCGUUUGACAGAGUGGCCUCUCGUGACGUUGUCAACUUUCUCAAGGGAAGCAAAGUUAUUGAAGGAUUGGUGCGAAAGCUGAAGUUAAUGCUGAUAACUGCUGAUUCAGUGCUCAGUGAUGCGGAGGAGAAGCAAUUUGAAUACCCAAAUGUGAAACGGUGGCUGAACGAGCUUAAAGAUGCUGUUUAUGUUGCGGAUGACCUCCUCGAUGAGAUUGCCACUGAAGCCUUACGAUCCAAGUCAGAAGCUGAAUUUCAAACCAGCACUAGUACGGUAUGGGACUUCUUCUCUGCUAAUUCAUUUGAUAUACAAUCGAAGCUAGAAAAAAUUCUGGAUAAUUUAGAAUAUAUUAUAAAACAAAAGGAUGUCCUUAGUCUUGUUGCUAGUGUUGCCCUGAAGGAUACCCCUGGUCUUAAAGGUAUACAAUCAAGACCAUUGACAACUUCUUGCCCUGAAGAAUAUGGUGUAUUUGGUAGAGACAAGGACAAGGAGGGGAUAUUUGAGAAGUUCCAAUCUAAUGGUGCAAGUGUUGAUGGGAUAUGUGUUGUUCCCAUAGUGGCUAUGGGUGGAGUUGGAAAAACUACUCUUGCUCGGUUUGUUUUCAAUGACAAAAGAAUAAAUGAGAGUUUUGAUCUCAAAGCUUGGGUUUGCGUUUCAGAAAAUUUUGAUAAUUUUAGGAUAGCAAAAACAAUUUUUGAGGAGGUCACUUCCUCUGCUUGUGACAAUCAAAACAUGAAUUUUCUGCAAAAUAAAAUUAGAGAGAAAUUCAUGGAGAAGAAAGUUUUCCUCGUUUUAGACGAUGUUUGGAAUGAGAAAUAUAGUGAUUGGGCUGAGCUACUUAAAGUUUUCAGAUGUGGUGCAAAGGAGAUUAAGAUCAUUGUUACUACACGCAGUACAAAAGUCGCAUCAAAUGUCCGCACUGUUGCAGAUUUUUUUCUAAGACAAUUAUCAGAAAAAGAGUGCUGGUCAUUGUUUAAAAAACACACAUUUAUAAAUGGAAAGGCUAGUGAUCCAAUUCUAGAGGAUAUUGGUAGGCAAAUUGUCCAGAAGUGUAAAGGCUUACCUUUGGCAGCAAAAACACUUGGUGGUUUGCUGCGUUGUCAGCAAGAUCCAAAGGAGUGGACAAUGAUUUUGAAGAGUGAUAUAUGGAAUAUACCAGAAAAAGAAAGUGACAUCCUUCCGGCUCUAAGAUUGAGCUACCACUACCUCCCAUCACAUUUAAAGCAUUGCUUUGCUUAUUGUUCCAUCCUUCCAAAGGGUUAUGAAUUUAAAAAAGAGGAGUUGGUCUUGUUGUGGAUGGCACAAAAUUUUUUACAGCAAUCCAAAGGAAAUGGGAGGAUGGAAGAAAUAGGUGAACGGUACUUUGAUGAUCUUGUAUCUAGGUCACUUCUUCAACAAUCAAGUACUAAUGAAUCACGUUUCAUAAUGCAUGACCUAGUCAAUGACUUGGCAACAUUUAUAUCUGGAGAAUUUUGUUUUAGGUUUGUGGAAAAUGAUGAGUUGAAUAAAAUAACAGAAAAAACACGUCAUUUUUCAUAUCCUAAAGGUCGAUUUGAUAACUCUAAGAAAUUUGAGUUCCUUUAUGAAGCAAAGGGUUUGCGAACCUUCUUGGGAGAAAAACAGUUACUGUUACCAUGGGAAAAUUAUAACUCUGUAGAGAAGAUAAUGAUAGAUGAUUUGUUGGAGGAAUUUAAAACCUUACGGGUGUUAUCAUUGUCUAGCAUGGGAAUAAGAGAGUUGCCUAACUCCAUUGAUAAUUUAAAGCACCUUCGUUAUUUGAAUAUUCUUUGCACUAAAAUCAGUCACUUACCCGAUUCCAUAUGUAACUUGUAUUGUUUGCAAACCUUGAUAUUGUCACGGUACAUCACCAAGUUGCCUACAAACACGAGUAAACUAAUCAACUUGCGCCACCUAGAUAAUAGUGGAGCCAAAAUGGAAGAGAUGCCACCACAUAUGGGUAAAAUGAAAAAUCUCAUAAAAUUACCUGUUUUUGUUGUGGGCAAACGUGAUGAUGGGUCCAGUAUAAGAGAAUUAGUGGAGCUUCAGCAUCUUUCUGAAACUUUGUCUCUAUUGAACUUGGAAAGCGUUCAAUGUAUUAAUAAAGAUACUGCAGAGGUUAUAUUAAAGAAUAAGCAAGAUUUAUCUGAGUUGAAGUUGGAAUGGAAACACGGUCAUGGCGCUGAAGAUUCAGAAAAGGAAAGAAUUAUGCUCGAGCAGUUGUGUCCUUGCACAAACUUGAAUUCUCUCACCAUCACCAAUUAUGAGGGUACAAGCUUUCCAAAAUGGUUAGGAGACUCGUCAUUCUCUAAAAUGGUGUCCAUAGAGCUUCGUGAUUGUGAUAAUUGCUUCUCCUUGCCUCCGCUUGGACAGCUACCUUACCUCAAGAGCCUUGAAAUUGAAUGUUUUGGUGAAAUAUCAAGUGUGGGCCCUGAGUUCUACGGGAAUACGAUUAACCCGUUCAGAGCCCUUGAGUGUUUAUCAUUUGAAAAUAUGCUAGAGUGGCAGGAGUGGGUUAUAUUUGAAGGAGAAGUUUUCUCUUGUCUUCAAAAACUUUAUAUUGAUAAUUGUCCCAAGCUUAGUGGGGGUUUGCCCGUUCAACUUCCCUCUUUGACCGAACUUCGUAUUAGUCAGUGUAAGCAGCUUGUUGCUUCGCUUCCUAAUUCUCCAGCUCUCCAUCAAUUAGUAUGCACAGGGAAAAUACAGAUUCCACGUGGUCAUGACUAUCAAUCACUUAAAACUGUGUUCAUAGCGGGCGGCGGUGAUUCAAUUUUGUCAUUUCUACCAGAGUUUACUUCCCUCUCUCGCUUGGAAUUCUUUGAGUGCCUUGAUUUAGUUUCCUUUCCCAGCGGAGGACUGCGCGCUCCAAAUUUGUCUCAGAUUGUAAUAUUUGUGUGCAGAAAUUUAAAGUCACUGCCUGAAGGGAUGCAUACCCUCCUCCCAUCUCUCGUGGGUUUGAAACUGUAUGGGUGUCCAAAACUUGAAUCUUUUCCCGAGGGAGGUUUGCCCUCCAGCUUAGAAAGUCUUGCCAUACACGGGUGUGAGAAACUCAUUUCCCGUCGCAUGGAAUUGGGAUUGCAAGGUCUUCACUCUCUCAGAAGUUUCACAAUUUCUAAUCAUUGCAACGAGUUGGAGUCCUUUCCAGAGGAGGCGUUGCUGCCUCCUAAUCUUACUGAUUUCGCCAUCAGUUAUUUACCAAAUCUAAAAUUGCUCAAUGGUAAGGGGUUUCAACUCCUUACCUCUCUUAAAAACUUGCGUAUUCGGAGCUGCAAUAAUCUUGACUGCUUACUAGAAGACGUUUUGCCUACCACUCUUUGUGAGCUACAUAUUUCUGAUUGCCACUUGUUGAAAGAACGGUAUGGAAAUGAGAAAGGGGAGGGCCAGGUCAAGAUUGCCCACAUCCCCAGAAUAUGCAUACGUUGAUUGAGCUAUGAGUCGAAGAACGCUUCUGCCCAGUGUUACUUUUACCUGUAAAUAACAAGUGUCUUACACACCCGCUGUCAAUUUCAUGCCACUGCUAGCUGCUAAUCCUUCUACAUUGUGUAUGAAUUCCUAAAUGUCAAUUCUCCAAAAAAAAAAAAAAAAAAAAAAAAAGACCUCCAAAAUAUCUGAUUAGUCUUCAAGUCACUGUAAAAGCUCAUCCUCUACUCUCAUUCUUGCCGGUGAUGCUCUUGCCUCAUUAUACAUUCACUACAUUUCUACUCUAGACUUCUGAAAUACAAGACAAAGACUUCUAUGGGAAUGUUUAAGCUAAGGGUUGCUCUUGCCUCACUAUACUUUCACUGCGUUUCGACUGUUCCAUUUUGAAGUGCAAGACGAAUACUUUUGAGGUAAACUAUGUGGCAGUUGAUAGCUAGUGCUACUUCUUUACCUUUUUAACAGCCGCUGAAUCACACUGAUCAAGUGUGGAGAGGGACUUACUCAGGUUUUCUCUUUGGAAUUGGUGGUAGAUGGGAAUAUGUGACAUCCCCUCCAGAGGAUAGGUUGCUGCAUUUGGUUCUUUUUUUCUUCUAACCUGAAAGAACUCAAAAGGUUCAGCCAGAAUAUGACUGCUCUUGCUGUCCUCACCUGUUGGGGCUACCAUUACUAUCGAGAAUUUUAAAUGCCAUAUUGUGUGACAAUGGUGCCAAGGCAGAGGGGGGAAAGCUGGCCCAAAGAUUGCUGAGAUUCUUGUUCCAUGAUAGAUCAAGUCCAAAGAUGCCCUGUGAUUGUUAGGGCUGGCUGAAGAACGGUGUCAUAAUCUGUUUCUGCCUUGAGAUCAAGCACUUUUUAGGUGUUGUCUUUUGUUGAAGGAAUGGUUCCAUUAAGAAGAAGGGCAAAGAAUGGAGCAAGAAUGCCCAUUUUCUUCAACAUAUUAAUUGAUGAUGAAGUGAUCAUGUGGCCUGAAGGGAUGCACACCUCCUCUGUAAGAGAUGCUGUCAGAUGUUUUUCAACCAAAGGCUUUGGAUCCCAAGAUUAUGCUACAGUUGACAUAUAGUUUUUGAACUAUGUGAUUUUCAACAUGCUCAUUCAUUGCCUUUUGUUUUGUGUGGUCAAUUUUACUUGUAAAUAAGUGCCUCACACACCCGCUGCCAAUUUAUGCCACUACUAGCUGCCAGUCCCUUGCAUUGUACAUAAAUUCCUAAAUCUCUGAUAUAUUUUCAAGUCACUAUGAAAGCUCAUCCUUUUUUUUAAUUUGAGAAUCAUUUACUCUCAUUCUUGCCAGAGCUGCUCUUACCUCAUUAUACUUUCACUGCAUUUCUACUUUGCACUUUUGAAGUGCAAGACAAAUAUUUUUGAGGGAAUGAUUAACCCAAGGUAAACUAUGUGAUGGUUGAUAGCUAGUGCUACUUCUUUACCUUCUAACAGCAGCUGAAACGCACUAAUCAAGUGUGGAGAGGGACUUGCUCAGGCUUUCUCUUUGAAAUUUUGGAACCGGUGGUAGAUGGGAAGAUGUGAAGUUCCCUCCGGGGGAUAGGUUGCUGCUUUUGGUUCCUUUUCUCUUCCUAACUUGAAAGAGCUCAAAAGGUUCAACAUGUGACUGCUCUUGCUUUCCUCACUUGUUGGGGCUAUGACUAGCACCAAGAAUUUUAAAAUGUCCUAUUGUGUGACAAUGGUGCCAGAGGCAGAGGGGGGAAAGCU